UACGUAGGCAGCGAGCGUUGUUCGGAAUUACUGGGCGUAAAGAGUGUGUAGGCGGUGUUCCAAGUUCGGUGUGAAAUCUCCCGGCUUAACUGGGAGGGUGCGCCGAAAACUGCAAGGCUGGAGUGUGGGAGAGGUAGGCGGAAUUCCUGGUGUAGCGGUGAAAUGCGUAGAUAUCAGGAGGAACACCUGUGGUGUAGACGGCUUACUGGACCAUGACUGACGCUGAGGCACGAAAGCGUGGGGAGCAAACAGG
rnacentral:rRNA from 1 species